GACGAACGCUGGCGGCGUGCUUAACACAUGCAAGUCGAGCGGAGCGGCGAACGGGAGAGUAACGCGUGAGUAACUGCCCCCCUCUCUGGGAUAACAGUUGGAAACGGCUGCUAAUACCGGAUAGGGGGGAGGGACUCGCGGCCUAUAAGCUUGUUGGUUGGGUAGUGGCCUACCAAGGCGACGACAGGUAGCCGGCCUGAGAGUGCGACCGGCCACAUUGGGCUGAGAUACGGCCCAAACUCCUACGGGGGGCAGCAGUGGGGAAUAGUGCACAAUGGACGAAACCCUUAUGCAGCAACGCCUCGUGCGUGAUGUCGGCCUUCGGGUUGUAAACCGCUUUCAGCCAUGACGCGGUAGUGGCAGAAGAAGCACCGGCUAACUACGUGCCAGCAGCCGCGGUAAUAC
rnacentral:rRNA from 1 species